rnacentral:rRNA from 1 species
AUGGCAACUUGCUUAUCAAACUUGAUUAGAGACUAUGGUUUAGAUUUUAUUGGUAUUCAGGAAACAAUGAAGAAAGAUUUUUCCUCUAAAUUCUUGAGGAAAAUUGAUCCAGGAGAGUACUUUGAUUGGAGGUGGAUCCCUUCAAUGGGAAAAUCUGGGGGAAUUUUGUGCAGUACUAAGAAAUAUACUUUUGAUUUUAGAUCCUGUGAGACAGGAAAAUAUAUCACGAAACUUGAGUUGUGGGAUAAGAGUAAAAAACUGAUUUAUUGUAUUCUAGUAGUAUAUGGAUCUUCUCAUGAAGAGUAUAAGGUGGAAUUUUUGGCUUAGUUGUUUGACAUGUGUAACAAUACUGCUUGCCCUUACAUUGUGGGGGGUGAUUUUAAUAUCCUUAGAUAUGCUAAGGAGAAAAAUAAGAAAACUAGGACAAGCCAUGCUACUGAUCUCCUUAUCUCCAGCAUUAAUACUUUCUGUCUUAGGGAAGUGGACAUGAAUGGUGGUAUGUACACUUGGUCUAAUAAUCAGCAAAAUCCUACCCUUGAAAAGUUGGAGCGUAUACUUAUGUCCAGUUCUAGAGAAAGGCAAUUUCCUUUGACUUUUGUCAGGAAAUUGGUUAAAGAGAUUUCAGAUCAUAGUCCUUUGAUCUUGAAUACUGAG